AAAGGAGAGGAGAAUGUGGGAUGGAGAGGGAGAGGAAGGAGAGGAGAACGUGUGAUGGAGAGGGAGAGGAAGGAGAGGAGAACGUGGGAUGGAGAGGGAGAGAAAGGAGAGGAGAAUGUGGGAUGUAGAGGGAGAGGAAGGAGAGGAGAAUGUGGGAUGGAGAGGGAGAGGAAGGAGAGGAGAAUGUGGGAUGGAGAGGAAGGAGAGGAGAAUGUGGGAUGGAGAGGAAGGAGAGGAGAAUGUGGGAUGGAGAGGAAGGAGAGGAGAACAUGGGAUGGAGAGGGAGAGGACGGAGAGGAGAACGUGGGAUGGAGAGGAAGGAGAGGAGAAUGUGGGAUGGAGAGGGAGAGGAAGGAGAGGAGAAUGUGGGAUGGAGAGGAAGAGAAAGGAGAGGAGAAUGUGGGAUGGAGAGGAAGGAGAGGAGAAUGUGGGAUGGAGAGGAAGAGAAAGGAGAGGAGAAUGUGGGAUGGAGAGGGAGAGAAAGGAGAGGAGAAUGUGGGAUGGAGAGGGAUAGAGAGCAGUUGCUUUGUGAGGAAUCUCUACCUGAAAAUACCUGAUCUAAGUGAUUGAUAGUUGGUAAACAUCAAUCCUAAAAUUAGACCUUACUUACUUUGAAGAACUACUGAAACAGUGAUGUUGUCAGACAGCGGCUCUGUUGUGAUGAGACAACGACUUGGAAUUAAAUAAUAAAAUGUAAUGUAAUAAACACAACAACUGGAAUAUGUUCUUGAAGUUAAGUCAUGUGAAUAAGUGAUGGUUAAUUGAUGAUCAGCAGUAAUGAACAGUCAC
ensembl:lncRNA